CCUACGGGAGGCAGCAGUAGGGAAUUUUCGGCAAUGGGGGGAACCCUGACCGAGCAACGCCGCGUGAACGAAGAAGUUAUUCGUAAUGUAAAGUUCUUUUAACAGGGAAGAAAGAGAAAUUUGGCGGUACCUGGAGAAUAAGCUCCGGCUAACUACGUGCCAGCAGCCGCGGUAAUACGUAGGGAGCGAGCGUUAUCCGGAAUUAUUGGGCGUAAGGGGUGCGUAGAUGGCAUAGUAAGUCUUUUGUAAAAAUGCUGGGCUCAAACCAGUAGGGCAAAAGAUACGGCAAAGCUAGAGUAUGACAGAGGCAAGUGGAACUACAUGUGUAGCGGUAAAAUGCGUAAAGAUAUGUAAGAACACCAGUGGCGAAGGCGGCUUGCUGGGUCGAUACUGACAUUGAGGCACGAAAGCGUGGGGAGCAAACAGGAUUAGAUACCCCAGUAGUC
rnacentral:rRNA from 1 species